AGAGUUUGAUCCUGGCUCAGGACGAACGCUGGCGGCACGCCUAACACAUGCAAGUCGAACGGAGAUGAUUUGAGUUUACUUAGAUCAUCUUAGUGGCGGACGGGUGAGUAACACGUGAGCAACCUGCCUUUGAGAGAGGGAUAGCUUCUGGAAACGGAUGGUAAUACCUCAUAACAUACAGAUACCGCAUGGUGACUGUAUCAAAGAUUUAUCUCUCAAAGAUGGGCUCGCGUCUGAUUAGAUAGUUGGUGAGGUAACGGCUCACCAAGUCGACGAUCAGUAGCCGGACUGAGAGGUUGAACGGCCACAUUGGGACUGAGACACGGCCCAGACUCCUACGGGAGGCAGCAGUGGGGAAUAUUGCACAAUGGGGGAAACCCUGAUGCAGCGAUGCCGCGUGGAGGAAGAAGGUUUUCGGAUUGUAAACUCCUGUCUUAAAGGACGACAAUGACGGUACUUUAGGAGGAAGCUCCGGCUAACUACGUGCCAGCAGCCGCGGUAAUACGUAGGGAGCGAGCGUUGUCCGGAAUUACUGGGUGUAAAGGGAGCGUAGGCGGGACGGCAAGUCAGAUGUGAAAUACAUGGGCUCAACCCAUGGGCUGCAUUUGAAACUGCUGUUCUUGAGUGAAGUAGAGGUAAGCGGAAUUCCUGGUGUAGCGGUGAAAUGCGUAGAUAUCAGGAGGAACACCGGUCGCGAAGGCAGCUCACUGGGGCGCAACUGACGCUGAAGCUCGAAAGCGCGGGUAUCGAACAGGAUUAGAUACCCUGGUAGUCCGCGCGGUAAACGAUGGAUGCCCGCUGUUGGGCCAACUGGUUCAGCGGCCAAGCGAAAGCAUUAAGCAUCCCACCUGGGGAGUACGCCGGCAACGGUGAAACUCAAAGGAAUUGACGGGGGCCCGCACAAGCGGAGGAACAUGUGGUUUAAUUCGAUGAUACGCGAGGAACCUUACCCGGGCAUGAAUUGCAGAGGAAGGAUUUGGAGACAAUGACGCCCUUCGGGGCCUCUGUGAAGGUGCUGCAUGGUUGUCGUCAGCUCGUGCCGUGAGGUGUCGGCUUAAGUGCCAUAACGAGCGCAACCCCUCUCCAUAGUUGCCAUCAGGUGAAGCUGGGCACUCUGUGGACACUGCCACCGUAAGGUGCGAGGAAGGUGGGGAUGACGUCAAAUCAGCACGGCCCUUACGUCCGGGGCUACACACGUGUUACAAUGGCAGGUACAGAGAGCCGGUCGUAUGCAAAUACGAUCCAAUCCUUAAAGCCUGUCUCAGUUCGGACUGGGGUCUGCAACCCGACCCCACGAAGCUGGAUUCGCUAGUAAUCGCGCAUCAGCCAUGGCGCGGUGAAUACGUUCCCGGGCCUUGUACGCACCGCCCGUCAAGCCAUGAAAGCCGGGGGCGCCUGAAGUCCGUGACCGCAAGGAGCGGCCUAGGGCGAAACUGGUAAUUGGGGCUAAGUCGUAACAAGGUA
rnacentral:rRNA from 1 species